rnacentral:sRNA from 1 species
UGGGGAUUGAAUCCAAGGGUGCUUUACUAUUGGUCCACAUCCCUAGUUUUUUUUUCAUUUUUUAAUUCUCUGUCUCUCUCUUUUUUUUUUUUUAAGAGAGAGUGAGAGAGAGAGAGAGAGAGAGAAU